rnacentral:tRNA from 1 species
GCCUCCGUAGCUCAACGGAUAGAGCAGUGGACUUCUAAUCCGAAGGUUGCGGGUUCGAGUCCCGCCGGGGGCG